ACGCGCCGUGCGCACACUGUAUGCGCUCCGAGUCACCUGGGAAGUGCGGAAACAGACCUGGGCUCCACCACAGCAACACUGGUAGGUCCACCGCCUCUCUGUUCCCUGGAGGCGGGGACCCGGGCCCGCGCGCUAUCCCCACGGCGCCUAGGGCGGCGGGAGGCCGGAAAACCGCGCCAUCCCACGGCUCCUCCCUCUCUGCCUCCCCGGAAGCCUCGGACCCGGAGCUGCUGGCCGAACAGACACUGAGCACCCCCAGGGCGGCCAGCACCGCCUCGGUACAGCGAGCAGCCAUGUCCACACCGGACCCCCUCGGACAGCACGAAACCCCGCCCUGCGGCGGGUGGGGAGUGGACUAGGUCCUACGCCAUAGGGGCACGCGGCGCAUGCGUAACUCCUCUCAGCUGCAGGCAGGGUGGGGAAAAGUCGCGAGUAAUGAGAGGGAUACUGGUUACAUCUUAUUUUAUUUCUUUACAAAUUAAAGAUGCAUUGAAAAAUAAACCAAUGAAAAGAAAUGAAAGGUCCAUAGCAGGGGCAUCCUGGGCUGGGAGCAGGCAGGCCUGACCACGGUCAUUCCUAGCCCUUGUCCUGCCCAGCCAACUGGAGUUGGAAGAUAACUUGUCAGCCACUCAGUCAAUACCAAAGCCCAGUAACGUCCUGGCACCGGAAGACAGGGCUCCAGCCAUAUCUGCCUCUCCCCAACAACGUUUCUGGUGGAAGCUGAGUGGGAUGUGGGCUGGCUCUGUGAGGUAUUGCAAGUUGACCAUCAGGCGCUCUACAGAACCAUCCAGGAUUGGGGCUUCUCCAUCUGGAAAGGAGGCUGCUACUUCCCCAAGGUGUUAAUAUGUUUUGCAAUUCUUACCCCAGGCUCAUUCAUCCACGAAGUGCUCACCAAUCAUUGCAGGGGAGAGAGAGCACGCGCAGUGGAAGUAGAGAGAUUAGUCAUCCAUCCUCGGUAACUAUGACUUUGCUACUGACCAUCAGGCACCCAAAGGACCAACUAUUUUACUCUCCACCACCUACGGCCUGUACCCCAGCUCUUGUGCACCUGUAUAUUUUGUCCCUAAUAUAGGAAGUUGUUGAUGACACGGAGCUGAAUUUGCCACCUCCUGUAAUAACCCUGGGAUUCCCACUUCUUCCUGCCUGCCCUUCCUCUUGGAGGCUCAUCCAAAGGGACACACUGUUGCCAGGGCCCAGCUGCCUCCAAACCCCCAACACCGAAUCAUAUACAGUGAACUGAGAAACUACAUUCAUUACAAGAGGAUUAGCAGGAGAAAGGGUAGAGUAAGGGGCCUGAGGCACCUUCGAUCAGCAGGACAUGACAGAGUGGUAGUGUAUUUGAGCCCAGAAAGACGGUGUCUCCUUAUAUCUCGCCCUCCCCCCAAAAGAAGUCAACUGAGGUCAGCUUACAUGACUUAUACGAUAUGGAACUGUCCCAAUUUCUCUGUCAUCCUGGGGUUCUUCCUGGAAGCUGGCCUGGGACCCUAUGCCAUUUACCCACUUGCUUUAGCUCAGUAGCUGCCGGAUCUCCUUGUGCAUAUGACAGAGAAAGUCCACAUAGGAUGCACCUCCACUUAGGCUCUUGUCUUCCACCAGGAAGUGCUUGAACAGCAUCUCCAGCUUGUCUUCCUGCUUGACCACGAUAAGCUACAGGCAGAAGGCAGAUGGUAAGGAAGGGCAAAUGGUAAGGAAGAACGCAUACACGCGUAUGCUCCCUCCCCAGCUUCCUUCCUGAUGACCUGACAAGAAAUCCAGGACUCAGAGCAGGGCUACUGCGCUGAGCAUAAGAGUACUUGUCUGGAGCUGGAGAGAUGAUGGCUCAGUGGGUAAGAGCACUGACUGCUCUUCCGAAGGUCCUGAGUUCAAAUCCUAGCAACCACAUGGUGGCUCACCACCAUCCUUAAUGAGAGCUGAUGCCCUCUUCUGGUGUGUCUGAAGACAGCUACAGUGUACUUACAUAUAAUUAAUAAAUAAAUCUUUUUAAAAAAAAAAAAGAGUACUUGUCUGGCACAGAAGGUUCAAUAUCCAGCCCCACCACUGUGAAACAUAGAACAUCUGUGUUACCUUCAUGUACCGCAUUCUCUGUGCCCGUAAGCUAUCGAUGAGACCUCGAACUUUCUUAGACAGUGGAUUAUCCAGAACUGGCAGAACACUCUGGAACAAAAAUGUAUUCAUUACUAUGAUAAAGUACUUUUAAGUCCAUCCAAAGGGAACAACACAGAUUUAGCUAUCAUCUGAAAU
rnacentral:lncRNA from 1 species